GACAGAGAGGAACAGAGAGGGAGAUGGAGAAUGAGGACAGAACAAAGAUGGAACAAGAGCAGAGCUGCAGUCACCUGCCUCGUCUUCAUCGUCUCACACACAGUGAGCAGUGUGGUGCAUGUGUGCGCCCUGGUUGGAGGUGAAGUCCUGCUGCAGUGCGUCUGCCCCGAGGUGCUGUGCCUGCCUCAUAGAGUCGGUGUUUUCUGGAGGGACAGAGAGGACCGGACCGUGCUGGACAUCAUCCUCAGCAGCCCUUAUGUUCGCUUCCAGCAUCACCUGUUCAGAGGGUGAGUGCAGAGCUUCCCUCACGCCUGUAACCAGGGAAACUUCUCCAUCCUCCUGAAGCACCUGCAGCUGUCAGACAGCAGCAGCUACACCUGCUUCAUCCCACAGCUGAAGCUCAAAGAGACGAUCAAGCUCACUGUGUCAGAUGCAGAUCAGUGCGUCUCUGAAGCUCAGAGGACUCCUGGACUUUCAUCUGCAGGCUCCAGCUUCACAGCAGGUUACCUUCAUCUCACCACCAGCCUCACGCUCCUCAUCUUCCUCCUACUGAAUCCUUGAUAGGAGCGAGGCCUCGAACACAGACUGAGCUGGACUCUUUUUUUUAUUUAAAGACUAAAUACUUUUAUAGAUGAUCAAAGAGCAUUUAUUAUUAUUAUUAUUAAUGUUAUUUAUUGAGUAAAUAAAUCCACAGGAUGAGGAGAAGAAAUGUAGACCAUCAUCUACACACUGAUCAGAAACACUGGCACUGUGUUUGGAGGUGGGCGGGGUCACAGCAAACCUGAAGCACGAAUAAAGCUCACCUGGUGGUAAGGUGGUCGCAAUGAAGUAACCUCUGACCUCUGAGGGGUAAAAGGUACACAGAGAGCAUCAGGAGGAGGAGAAGGAAGGUUUCAUUGGAGACAGAUGUUUGUGAUGAUGUUCAUGGUGGGUCAGUGAUGGUGAUCAGAGAAGGCAGCUGUGGCUCCCUCUGGUGGACACAUUAAUAACCACAGCUUUCCUCUCUCUCUUUAUCCUUAAUUAUUGUCUCACUUUCAUUGUUAUUGUUUGCACAUUUUUCCUGUUUGUGUUUUAAUUUUGGUUUUUCUGUUAAUACUGUAAAGAUAUUCUGGGUGUAGUGGGUGUGUGUGAGUGUGUGUGAGUGUGUGUGAGUGUGUGUGGGUGGGUGAGGAGGGGGGACUGGAGAGUUUUAGCUUUUUAGAGUCUGGUCUCUGCAACUUUCACAUUAAAUAUUUUCACUGACAAACAUGGAAAUGCGUUUUUCUCUUUGAAUCCAGGUUAUCAUGCAGUAGUUUCACUGAUCUGAGCCACUUUACAUCAAUCUCCAGCCAGAGUGGAGAGACAGAGGACGAUCAUGUGACUGAGAAACAGCUGAGCUUUUAUAUUCAGACACUGUACGCGUGCAGGAGACAGCAGGAUCAAGUGAAGGUAGAAAGUGUGUGUGAGCUGCUGUGGAUGUGAAUUCAGCAGCAUGGAUCAAUGGGUGGGGAGACAGCAAGAUCAGAGGAACCAACCUGUAUCUGGACCUGGACCUGAACCUGAACCUGAACUUGGACCUGGACCUGAACCUGAACUUGGUUCUGGUUCAGAUUCAGAUUCCAGCAGUUUGUCUUUUAAGAGUGUCUGUUCCAAAGAGAUUCCCUUUGAAUUUAAAGGCCAACAGGCAUCUGCUGCAGAGAGGGUGGAGCCUGCUGGAGUCCAAUGGUUGACACCAGGUCUGAG